ensembl:lncRNA
AUGAGUGGUUACGCCCCAUUAAGAGAGCAGUGGUAAUAACUUUAUUGCAAAAAUACAGGAUCCCUCUUUCCCUCGUUCGCCAAGCAAUGAUACCCAGUACCAACACACACAAACACCCUACACACACACAAACACAUACAACUCGCUCUCUAAAAACGACUCCUAGCCCUCUUUCAUCCUCACAUCAUCUCUAUUUCACACACAAACAGUACAUCAUUUUAUCUCCUCUCUAUGUACUUUCUUUCAUUCGCCAUCGCUCUCUUUCUUCCACUCUCUCUUUGCAUUGAAUUUCCAUUGACUGUUCCGAGCAUAGUAUACAGCCCUCGAACUCAACUCUGUACCCCGAAGCCAGUUCCACUGCAUCUUUUCAUUGUUCCCCUGUAAUCAGGGACUGAUUUUAGACCUGGGACACCAGGUGUGUGCAAUUCAUUAUCAGUUAGAACAGAAAAAUAGCAGGCUCCGGACCUCGUAGGGUCAGAGUUGAAUACCCCCUGGUAUACAUUAUCCCUUCUUACUACAUAGUGAACCACUUCAGUACUAUGUAUGUAUAUGGUGCGAAUCGGAAAUCACACCCUAUUCCCUAUGUAGGGCUCUGGCCAAAAGUAGUGUGUAGUAUAUAGGGAGACGGGUGUCAUUUGGAAUCGAGCCAAUGACUUAGUACAGUAUUCAACAGCAGCAUUUAAUCACGUAUCUUCUUGACUUAAAUUCGUAAAUAAAGCGUCCGUUCGUGGCGUGUCCACUUCCUGCUUCCUAUCUGUCAGGUCAGAGGUCAAGGGUCAGGAGGGAAGGUUGAUUUGCAUAGCAGACUCAUGCGCUACAGUUGGCUACAUUCUCCAACAUCCACAACACAAACAGCAACAAAAUAAUCAAAUUAAUAAAUACAUUUUUUUUUUUUAAAUCACAAUGUUAAAAGACAGACAGAGAGCUGUGUCUUUGUCUAAGUGCCAACCUUUGGUUUAGAUACAACAAUCAUUUAUCAGUUCUGUCUAGAUCUCGUUCUGCACUGGCCAUUGGUCUCCAAAUAGGGAUUAGUUAUAAUGUAUUAAAUGUAUGUACUUAUUAUGUAUAUACAUACAUAUUAUAUGUACAUAUGUCAUAACAUGUUCAGCAGGUUAAAUCAUAUCAUAACAUUUUCAAGACAUGUCAGUGUUAUUCAGUUAGGGGUAAGUCAGAGAACCCUGUUAUAACUAGAGCAUGAGAGACAAUACCUACAGUACACAUAUGAAGUAUAUUUAUAAUAAAGUGUAGUUCACCAUUCAUAUCUGAGUAACAUCAGGGUCAGAGCUGAACGGAAAGGUCCAGAAGAAGAUAGAGAAUCUCAGUAACUAAGAACCAAUCAUGUUAACCUGAGGCCUCAAAUAAAUUAGAUUACAUUUACCCUUCAUCGAGUACACUUCAGCAAGUACCGUUCAGCUGGUACACUUUCCUAAGUACCCUUCAGCAAACACACUUCCCAAAUGACAAUUUAGCUCCCUUACCCUCGCUCGGUCAAAGCUCUCGCUCUCUCUCACGUUACAUCAGGUGUGCAGAAGUUUGUUCCGUUUAGCUACCGUUAUCUGUAAAAAAAAAAAUCUAUUCAAUUUUAAAAAAGGAAAAAGGAAGGUAGUUUCUCCCGAUAGAAAUGGGAGAGCAGCGUUAGCCGUUACAACGGUCAGUCAGGUGACCUCCAGCUGGACACUUGUGAAGGUCACUCAAUCCAGGUCCAGGAGGACCAGGCGUCACCACUAAAGUUAUCAAUAUCUUCAUUAUUAUCAUUAUUAGUAUGAACAUUCCAUAAGGUCUUAAUAACAUACAGGUUUCAUAUAUCGUUUUUCUGUACAUGACUUUAGUUAUUAUUAGAGUUCAGUCUAUACGUAGCUAUGUAGGCACGUACGCACUGGUCCUGGGGUUCCCUUGGAAACAACAUAUCCAGGUGUGCUGUGCUGUCGUCAGACAGGAAAUGCCCAUAAAGAAAAAGGAAGAAGCCGUGGCUUAUCGGUAACCCCCUCCUCCCCCUGUGGAUCUUUCAGUCACCUCAAAGUUCCAGAGCCCCUCUGAUUGGGGCAGAUAAAGCAGGGAGAUCAUAGGCUAAACCUGGCUAGCUAAUCUACUCCCCCCUUUAUAGGCCCAAAGAGGGGAAGGCUAGCAGGAUAAUGUUCAGAGUCGGACUAUAUUAGGAGGCUAACAGGCUAGCAGGUCGCAAGCUAGCUAGCUAGAAGUGUAAUUAGGUGAGUUUGUUGUUUUGGGUUUCAGAGUAAUUCCUGCUGAGGGGGACUAAGAAUGACUGCAUAGACUGAAUAGUUGAAGAAGGGCGGAGGGUGCGAGAUGAGGGUAGAGGGAGGUUAGUAGACCACUGAGGGCCGGACGUGGGGAGAGGUGUGUGUUUGGGGUUGGGGGGGGGGGUCCUAGACCAACCCCCUAUCGUGGCGUUGGGUGAGGUGCAUGGCUGCUUUGGAAGAUGCCUGUAGCGGUGUGGAGAGUUAGGACCCCGGAUGUCUGCCCUGGGAACUGCCUUUAGCGGUGUCACGGGUAAGGACCUGCAAAUAGCUGUCCUGGGAGGUGCCUUUAGUGUUGUGGAGUAUUAGGACUCCAAAGAGCUGCCCUGGGAGGUGCCUGUAGAACUGUGGAGGGUUUGGAUCCUAUAAGGCUGCCCUGGGAGGUCCCCGUAGUGGUGUGGAGGGUAAGUAAGGACCCUAGACGUCCAAUGUGGGAUGUGCUUGUAGCGGUGUGAAGGGUAUGGACCCCAGCGAGCAGCCCUGGGAGGUGCCUGUAGCGUAGAUGCAUAUGGAGGCACGUCAGUGGUUUGAAGACCACUGUCUUAAGUGGUCUGAAGUCAGCUUCACCCCCGUCAGACACCAGAAACUCCCCGCGCCAUUGGGCAUCUCCUGCAGGGGGAGGGACAACACAGUGACGGACAGGCCCCAGAGGUGAAGGGUAAGGGGUCAUGAAAGGACUGGGUGAUGAUAAUUAUGAUAAUGAUGAUGAUUAUGAAGACGAAGAUACUGAAGUUGAAGAUGAUGAUGAUGACUAAGAUGAAGAUGGUGAUGAUGAAGAUGAUGAUGGUGUAACAAUACAGGGUCUCAGAGGAGAUUAGGUAAGUAAGCAGAGGCACUGACAUCUGUCUGCUUCACCUUCAGAAGGAGAGAGAGAGACGGGGAUAGAGAGAGAGAGAGAGAGAUGGGGAAUAGAGAGAGAGAGAGAGAGAGAUGGGGAAUAGAGAGAGACGGGGGAUAGAAAGAGACAGGGAUAGAGAGAGAGACACGGGGAAUAGAGAGAGAGAGAGACGGGGAUAGAGAGAGACGGGGGAUAGAAAGAGACGGGGAUAGAGAGAGAGACACGGGGAAUAGAGAGAGAGAGACGGGGAAUAGAGAGCGAGAGAGACAGGGAAUAGAGAGAGAGAGAGAGAGAGAGAUGGGGAAUAGAGAGAGAGAGAGAGAGAUGGGGAAUAGAGAGAGACGGGGGAUAGAAAGAGACAGGGAUAGAGAGAGAGACAUGGGGAAUAGAGAGAGAGAGAGAGAGAGAGACGGGGAUAGAGAGAGAGACACGGGGAAUAGAGAGAGAGAGAGAGAGAGACGGGGAAUAGAGAGAGAGACACGGGGAAUAGAGAGAGAGAGACGGAGAGAGAGAGAGAGACACGGGGAAUAGAGAGAGAGAGAUGGGGAAUAGAGAGAGAUGGGGGAUAGAAAGAGACGGGGAUAGAGAGAGAGACACGGGGAAUAGAGAGAGAGAGAGAGAGAUGGGGGUUAGAGAGAGAGAGAUGGGGAAUAGAGAGAGACGGGGAUAGAAAGAGACAGGGAUAGAGAGAGAGACAUGGGGAAUAGAGAGAGAGAGAGAGAGAGACGAGGGAUAGAGAGAGAGACACGGGGAAUAGAGAGAGAGAGACGGGGAAUAGAGAGAGAGACACGGGGAAUAGAGAGAGGGAGACGGAGAGAGAGAGAUGGGGAAUAGAGAGAGAGAGACGGGGAUAGAGAGAGACAGGGAAUAGAGAGAGAGAGAGAGACAGGGAAUAGAGUGAGAGAGAGAGACGGGGAAUAGAGAGAGACAGGGGAUAGAAAGAGACGGGGAUAGAGAGAGAGAGAGACGGGAUAGAGAGAGACAGGGGAUAGAAAGAGACGGGGAUAGAGAGAGAGAGAGACGGGGAUAGAGAGAGACAGGGGAUAGAAAGAGACGGGGAUAGAGAGAGAGAGAGACAGGGAUAGAGAGAGACGGGGGAUAGAAAGAGACGGGGAUAGAGAGAGAGACACGGGGAAUAGAGAGAGAGAGAGAGACGGGGAAUAGAGAGUGAGAGAGACAGGGAAUAGAGAGAGAGAUGGGGAAUAGAGAGAGAGAGGUGGGGGUAGAGAGAGACGGGGGAUAGAAAGAGACGGGGAUAGAAAGAGAGACACAGGGAAUAGAGAGAGAGAGAGAGAGACAGGGAAUAAAGAGAGACGGGGAUAGAGAGAGAGAUGGGGAAUAGAGAGAGAGAGAGAGAGAGAGAGAGAGAGAGAGAGACGUGGAUAGAGAGAGAGAGAGACGGGGAUAGAGACAGACGGGGGGAUAGAAAGAGACGGGGAUAGAGAGAGAGACACGGGGAAUAGAGAGAGAGAGACAGGGAAUAGAAAGAGAGAGACGGGGAUAGAGAGAGAGAGAGACAGGGAUAGAGAGAGACAGGGGAUAGAAAGAGACGGGGAUAGAGAGAGAGACAUGGGGAAUAGAGAGAGAGAGAGAGACGGGGAAUAGAGAGCGAGAGAGAGACGGGGAAUAGAGAGAGAGAGAGAGAGACGGGGAAUAGAGAGAGAGAGACACGGGGAAUAGAGAGAGAGAGAGAGACGGGGAAUAGAAAGAGAGAGACGGGGAUAGAGAGACGGGGGAUAGAAAGAGACGGGGAUAGAGAGAGAGAGAGACGGGGAUAGAGAGAGACAGGGGAUAGAAAGAGACGGGGAUAGAGAGAGAGAGAGACGGGGAUAGAGAGAGACAGGGGAUAGAAAGAGACGGGGAUAGAGAGAGACGGGGGAUAGAAAGAGACGGGGAUAGAGAGAGAGAGAGACGGGGAUAGAGAGAGACGGGGGAUAGAAAGAGAUGGGGAUAGAGAGAGAGAGAGAGAGAGACGGGGAAUAGAGAGUGAGAGAGAGACGGGGAAUAGAGAGAGAGACACGGGGAAUAGAGAGAGAGAGAGAGAGAGACGGGGAUAGAGAGCGAGAGAGACAGGGAAUAGAGAGAGAGAGAGAUGGGGAAUAGAGAGAGAGAGGCGGGGAUAGAGAGAGACGGGGGAUAGAAAGAGACGGGGAUAGAAAGAGAGACACGGGGAAUAGAGAGAGAGAGAGAGAGACGGGGAAUAGAGAGAGAGAGGCGGGGAUAGAGAGAGAGAUGGGGAUAGAGAGAGAGAGAGAGAGAGACUGGGAAUAGGGAGAGAGAGAGAGAUGGGGAAUAGAGAGAGAGAGAGAGAGAGACGGGGAUAGAGAGAGAGAGAGAGAGACGGGGAUAGAUAGAGAGAGAGAGAGACGGGGAAUAGAGAGAGAGAGAGAGAGACAGGGAUAGAGGGAGAGAGAGAGACGG